UAUCGUUGCAAAGAAGGGCCGAAGGGGAAGGGGCGGCGAGGCUGUGCUGCAGGUCGGGGCAGCCCCGAGGUCUGACGUGUCCGCGCCCCUGCGGCCCCGCUCCCGGCCGCAGUGACCUCCCCUUGCACGGGGCGGACACGGGCAAUGUCACGGGCCCCACCGCGCACCGCGAGCACUCACCAGGGUGAGGGCUGCCCGGGUGGGCUGCAGCUUCCUCUUGCUCACAGCCCGGACAGUUGCCCGGACUAAGGAAGCCGACAUCUUCGCCGUCCUGGCGCCCCGCUGCCUCGGGCCGAAGGUCGGCCACCUCAGCCUCUCUCCAUGGACACGGCGGGCGGAUUGACGCCACAAGCUUCGGCGCACGGCGCUUUCAGGCCUAGCCCCGCCCCCCACGGCCACCAUUGGGUGGGCUGAGUGAGUGACGGGCAGGGGGCGGGGCAAGCCGCUCGGGGCGGGGUUUUGCCGCUCAACGCCGGGGUGCUACCAGCUGGAUUGCGCACGGUCGCCUGCCGUGGGGUUACUACGCUGCGGGGCGCAGAACCCGGGAGGAAUGUCGUCACCGCCGGGGACGGAGUCGGUUCCGAAAGGAGAGUUCAAAAUUCCAUCAAGUAGUUCUGACUUCCUGCUACAGAAAUGCAAUCGCAUUGACAGGAUAAAUUAAAAAACAGAAGCACCCAGGCAGAAAAACAAAACCUACAAGAGAACAAAAAUUAGCCUGGUCUUAGACGUGUCUUCUGCUAUAAUGCCAGAAAACAACAGAACAUCAUCAAUGGGCUUUUCAAAGAAAAGUGUGACAAGCAUUGUAAGCCUAGUCGACUUUCAUGCAUGAGUUAAAGAGAAGAAACCAGAAGGGGGGCAGCUGAGGACAGUCACGUAGAGCAGCAUCAGCCCAGGUUGCGUCAUUCAUUAGUUUGCGUUCAAAAUGAGUAGGGAAUGAUCACUAAUUCUUUCCACCACGGCCUCCAAAUUCUGAAGUCUUUCAUUUUGAUAUGAUUUGUCUUAGCUGUGACUGUCUUCAAAUAAUUUUUUAAAAAAGAAGGGCACAGGGAUAUGCGUCUUCUGAAUCUUCAAACAUUCGGAAUGUUUGCCCAGCAAGCACCCCCUGCGCCUCCCUGCCUACAAAUUCCCCGCCCCCCCCACUCCCAUCUGUGCCUUUUAUAAUAACAAAUUUAUACGUUCCCAGAGCCUGGAACACACUGGAUGUUAACACACACCAAUGACUGCAAGGGCACAAGUCAAAGGGAACUUUGUGUAUACUAUUUUAGAGCAGUGUAUUUGUCCUUUCUUCUUUUUCGUUAAAAUCCUCUUACUAUCAUUCCCAAUGUCCUCACUCCUUGAUCUUUUUUUUUUUUUUUUUUCCAGGAA